GGUAACAUAAGUAGAAAUGACAAUUACGUGGUGACAUUAUUUGAGUGGCAACGAUAGAAUAUACUAGAUUGAACAUGGAAUUAUUUAGUAACAAUUUCUGGUAACACUACGUUUGGAAAAGCUUUUUUAUCAUCAUGGCAGACACGGAGCCCUCGCGCAGCUGCCCCGCUUGUCUCGUCCAGGAUCUGCGCCGGAUUGGAGCAUCGUCUGUGCUUGCAUUGUUGAAUGAACAAUGCAAGCAUAUUGCACUUGCCCGUAGGUGAUAGUGUGAGGCAGCAAGUCAUCUGGCUGCGUGUAGUGGCGUGUGUGGUGACAUCGUGAUGUGUGAGGCAGUGAAUCUUCUGCCCCCAGGUAAGUUGCUGCAUGUGGUGGUGCUUGUGGUGAUAUUGUGAGUACGUCAUUUGCAUCUUGUGUGUAGGCUGUAUUCGCUAACGUUGUCGUUCUUUUCUUCUAGGUCGCCGUAUCUGAGAGUGAGCAAGCGUGCUGCACUUGCCCGUUGGUGGAUUUGUGAGGCAGCAAGUCAUCUGCCCCCAGGUUAGUUGCUGCGUGGAGUGGUGCGUGCGGUGAGCAUCGUCGCCGUCUGUGUUGGUGAGCUGGGCACUGUACCACAAGUGCUUCGUGGGACAGUGUAGAUGCGUCAGUUUUGUUUGUGGUCUGUAAUGGAGAUUUAAUUAUUGAGCGAGAUUUAACUUGUUUUUUUUUU